UACGUAGGGCGCAAGCGUUAUCCGGAAUUAUUGGGCGUAAAGAGCUCGUAGGCGGCUUGUCGCGUCGACUGUGAAAACUCGGGGCUCAACUCCGAGCUUGCAGUCGAUACGGGCAGGCUAGAGUUCGGUAGGGGAGACUGAAAUUCCUGGUGUAGCGGUGAAAUGCGCAGAUAUCAGGAGGAACACCGGUGGCGAAGGCGGGUCUCUGGGCCGAUACUGACGCUGAGGAGCGAAAGCGUGGGGAGCGAACAGG
rnacentral:rRNA from 1 species